AUUGAACGCUGGCGGCAGGCUUAACACAUGCAAGUCGAGCGGGGUGAGGUGCUUCGGUACUGAUCCUAGCGGCGGACGGGUGAGUAAUGCUUAGGAAUCUGCCAUUUAGUGGGGGACAACAUUCCGAAAGGAAUGCUAAUACCGCAUACGUCCUACGGGAGAAAGCAGGGGAUCUUCGGACCUUGCGCUAAAUGAUGAGCCUAAGUCGGAUUAGCUAGUUGGUGGGGUAAAGGCCUACCAAGGCGACGAUCUGUAGCGGGUCUGAGAGGAUGAUCCGCCACACUGGGACUGAGACACGGCCCAGACUCCUACGGGAGGCAGCAGUGGGAAUAUUGGACAAUGGGCGGAAGCCUGAUCCAGCCAUGCCGCGUGUGUGAAGAAGGCCUUUUGGUUGUAAAGCACUUUAAGCGAGGAGGAGGCUACCUGGAUUAAUACUCUGGGAUAGUGGACGUUACUCGCAGAAUAAGCACCGGCUAACUCUGUGCCAGCCGCCGCCGUAA
rnacentral:rRNA from 1 species